CCUUACAAACGUCUUACGAACGCCAGGAGUCAUUCGUACGAAGACCAUAAGAAUCUCCGCUCGUAAGGCGUUCUUACGAACGCCGUAAGAGCCCUCUAUGAACAACUUGAGGCGUUCUUACGGUCAUCGUAAUAAUUUGAAGCUUCUAGAAUUGUCCCUCGACCCUACGAAAUGUACGUAGAUCUUGCGUGGUUCUUACGAUGUAAAUACGGCGUUCGUACGGCCGCCUUACGAAGAGAGGGUUUCGUACGAUGUUAAAAAAAAUCUUGGACAAGACCAUCGACCAAUCUGCGUUCUUACGAACGGUCUACGAACGGUUUACGAGCGCUUGUUUCGUACGGCCUUCUUAAGAAGAUCUUACGAAAUGGUCUGAAAAUCGUUCGUACGGCGUUCGUAGCAGCCCGUAAGGGUAUUUGUGACCAAGGCAUUAUAUUAAACUUGUUCAAUCACAG